GCUCCGGUGGCAUAGUUGUUGGAGCGUCCGCCUCGGAUACGGAAGAUCUCGGGUUCGAACCCCGGCCGAGUCA